rnacentral:tRNA from 1 species
GCCCUGGUGGUGCAACGGUUAAGUGCUCAGCUGCUAACUGAAAGGUUCGUGGUUUGAACCCAUGCAGGGGCU